UACAGAGGUGGCAAGCGUUGUUCGGAUUUAUUGGGCGUAAAGGGCUCGUAGGCGGCCAACUAAGUCCGACGUGAAAUCCCCAGGCUUAACCUGGGAACUGCGUCGGAUACUGGAUGGCUUGAAUUCGGGAGAGGGAUGCAGAAUUCCAGGUGUAGCGGUGAAAUGCGUAGAUAUCUGGAGGAAUACCGGUGGCGAAGGCGGCAUCCUGGACCGACAUUGACGCUGAGGCACGAAGGCCAGGGGAGCAAACGGG
rnacentral:rRNA from 1 species